rnacentral:rRNA from 1 species
CUAAGAAUAUUCCGCAAUGGACGAAAGUCUGACGGAGCGACGCCGCGUGGAUGAAGAAGGCCGAAAGGUUGUAAAGUUCUUUUGCUGGGGAAGAAUAAGUGUGGGAGGGAAUGCCCGCACGAUGACAUGAACCGGUGAAUAAGCCCCGGCCAACUACGUGCCAGCAGCCGCGGUAACACGUAGGGGGCGAGCGUUGUUCGGAAUUACUGGGCGUAAAGGGCAUGUAGGCGGUCUGGUAAGCCUGGCGUGAAAGUCUGCAGCUUAACUGCAGGGGUGCGCUGGGAACUGCUGGGCUUGAGUGACGGAGAGGGAGCUGGAAUUCCUGGUGUAGGGGUGAAAUCUGUAGAUAUCAGGAAGAACACCGAUGGCGAAGGCAAGCUCCUGGCCGAUGACUGACGCUGAGGUGCGAAAGUGUGGGGAUCAAACA